UUCGCAAUGCCCGAAAGGGUGACGAAGCGACGCCGCGUGGGUGAGGAAGGCCUUCGGGUUGUAAAGCCCUGUCAGGAGUUAAGAAAUGUAAGUGUGCUAAUAUCGCAUUUACUUGACGAAGGCUCCAAAGGAAGUCACGGCUAACUCUGUGCCAGCAGCCGCGGUAAUACAGAGGUGGCAAGCGUUGUUCGGAAUUAUUGGGCGUAAAGAGCACGUAGGUGGGUUUGUAAGUCAGAUGUGAGAGCCUCCUGUUCAACGGGAGAAUUGCAUCUGAAACUACUGAUCUUGAGUAUAGGAGGGGAGAAUGGAACUUCUGGUGGAGCGGUGAAAUGCGUAGAUAUCAGAAGGAACGCCGGCGGCGAAAGCGAUUCUCUGGCCUAUUACUGACACUCAGUGUGCGAAAGCUAGGGGAGCAAACGGGAUUAGAUACCCCGGUAGUCCUAGCCGUAAACGAUGGGCACUAAGUAGAGGGGUUUU
rnacentral:rRNA from 2 species